AGGAUGAACGCUAGCGGCGGGCCUAAUACAUGCAAGUCGAGCGCCCCUUUCGGGGGGAGCGGCGGACGGGUGCGUAACGCGUAUGCAACUUGCCCUUCAGCGGGGGAUAACGUUCGGAAACGGGCGCUAAUACCGCGUGGAUUUGCGACCUCGCAUGGGGAUGCAAAUAAAGCCUUUGGGCACUGAGGGAUGGGCAUGCGUCAGAUUAGUUAGUUGGUGAGGUAACGGCUCACCAAGGCAACGAUCUGUAGCUGGUCUGAGAGGAUGAUCAGCCACACUGGCACUGAGACACGGGCCAGACUCCUACGGGAGGCAGCAGUAGGGAAUAUUGGUCAAUGGGCGAAAGCCUGAACCAGCCACGCCGCGUGCGGGAAGACGGCCCACAGGGUUGUAAACCGCUUUUUUCGCAGAAUAAGUUAGUAUUUGUUAUUAGUAGAAGGUAUGCGAAGAAUAAGCACCGGCAAACUACGUGCCAGCAGCCGCGGUAAUACGUAGGGUGCAAGCGUUGUCCGGAUUUACUGGGUUUAAAGGGUACGUAGGCGGCUGGCUAAGUCGGCGAUGAAAUACCGGAGCUUAACUCCGGUGCUGUUGCCGAUACUGGCGAGCUAGAGCGCGGAUGAGGUUGCUGGAAUAGACGGUGUAGCGGUGAUAUGCGUAGAGAUCGUCUGGAACAUCGAUUGCGAAGGCAGGCAACUAGCCCGCGUCUGACGCUGAGGUACGAAAGCGUGGGGAGCGAACAGGAUUAGAUACCCUGGUAGUCCACGCCCUAAACGAUGCACACUCGUUGUUCGCCCACAUGAGGGCGAGCGGCUGAGCGAAAGCGUUAAGUGUGCCACCUGGGAAGUACGCUCGCAAGGGUGAAACUCAAAGGAAUUGACGGGGGCCCGCACAAGUGGUGGAGCAUGUGGUUUAAUUCGAUGAUACGCGAGGAACCUUACCGGGGCUAAAUCCCAGCUGCUACCUCCUGAAAGGGAGGGUUUCUUCGGAACGGUUGGGAAGGUGCUGCAUGGUUGUCGUCAGCUCGUGCCGUGAGGUGUUGGGUUAAGUCCCGCAACGAGCGCAACCCCUAUCGUUAGUUGCCAACGGUUCGGCCGGGGACUCUAGCGAGACUGCCUACGCAAGUAGUGAGGAAGGAGGGGACGACGUCAAAUCAUCAUGGCCCUUACGCCCCGGGCGACACACGUGCUACAAUGGGCCGUACAACGGGCAGCGACCCCGCGAGGGGCAGCAAAUCCUAAAAGCGGCUCUCAGUUCGGAUUGUAGUCUGCAACUCGACUGCAUGAAGCUGGAAUCACUAGUAAUCGCACAUCAGCCAUGGUGCGGUGAAUACGUUCCCGGGCCUUGUACACACCGCCCGUCAAGCCAUGGAAGUUGGGGGCGCCUGAAGUCGGGGUUAUCCCCCGCCGAGGGCGAAAC
rnacentral:rRNA from 1 species